CCCCCAAUCCAUCCAUCCAUCCAUUCCAGAUCGAGAGAGAGAGCUCGUCUCCUUCCUUCCUCCAGCUCCCUCCAGAUCAAGAGAGAGAUCACCGCCGCCACCUCCCUCUAGCGGAGCUCGCCGCCGUCCAUGGCCUCCCAAACGCCCUCCUAGUCCGCCCGCUCCUCCUCCCUCGCGCGUCAUUCCCAAUUUCCCAAACCAGACCGCCUGACUGGUUCAAUCCUUCCUCCCCUCACAUCCACCCACCUCGGCGCUGCCACCCAACUCGUCGACGACCUUACGCAUCGCUGCCGGCCUCCGCUCCCUCCCCUCCCACACGCCCGCCGCCCCACCCUCUCCACCUCCCCUUCUCCCCCUAUCCCCACACGAACCGGUCCGCAGCUAACCCCGCUGUUUUUCCUCCGCCUCCUGCAGCCCGCUGUCUAUGACGGCGGCGGCGCCGAAGAUCGAGAAGGAGUAGGAGCAGGUGGUGAACCCAUGGGAGGUGUCGGCCGGUAAGGGCGGCAUCGACUACGACAAGCUUGUCGACCAGUUCGGCUGCCAGCACCUGGACGCAGCGACCAUUGACUGCGUUGCACGCCUCACUGGCCGCCCCCCGGAUCGCUUCCUCCGCCGAGGUCUCUUCUUCGCCCACUGGGAUUUCAACGAGAUCCUUGACCUGUACGAGAAAGGGGAGAAGUUCUACCUAUACACGGGGAGGGGCCCCUCGUUGGAGGCCUUGCACCUUGGCCACCUCAUCCCCUUCAUGUUUACCAAGACAACUGGGUGAGGAUGCUGCGGCUAGGCUUCCAAUGCGUGGGGAUCCUCUACGCUGACCUCGGGACAUCGUCGCUCUACGUCAUCUCCAAUACCUUCAAGUACGAUGUGGGGCACGAGGACGACGUGCCGGGCAUCCUCUCCCUCAUCAUCUACAGCUUCCUGCUCUUCGCCAUGGUCAAGAUCAUCUUCAUCGCGCUCUUAUAUUUAGGAAUGGAGAUUUGCUAUUGGUGGCACUAGGUGGACAAGUUGUACCUUCGGAGUAGUACUACAUCAACCUGAUGGAACCUUCAAGUUGUUUCAUUGAUUUUCCAUGAAUAUAUACUACUACAGCAGCCUGUUACUAUUGCUACAUGCCAUCCUUUUUAUUUUCGGUAGUGAUUUUGAUGCAUAAAUGCUUGUGAGAAUAUGAUGCUUUAGCCUAGAUAUAUGAUGCAAAGUAUGUUGCUGCUAGUGCUAGGUCCUCGUUGUGAGUUUCUAACUUUGCAGCGCUGAGGAUAUCUUUUUUGUUGCACCUGAAAUUUUCUAUUGAAGUCGUUAGGCUAAGUAGUUGCUUGUAGGACUUGAGCAUCGGUUCUACUCUGAAAAUCAUGUGUGUUUGACGGUAUAAUUAUCUUUGGUUCAUCUACACUUUGUACCUUGUAUCAAGCUUGAACAUCAAGGUGCUACACCAUGGUUAGCCCGAGUCUUUGUUCUACUUCCUAUUAGUAGAAAGCAAUGUCAAUGUGUCCCAGUUUGGCUGUUUCAUCUGCUCCAGUGCCAUCUGAUGAGGUGCCUGGAUCUAGGUGUUAUCCCCGCCUUUGUGUCGAGUCAUUCAAUUUGUGGUCGCAUAGUAGCGUCAGUGCUAUGUACUAAUGUUUAGCACGGAUGAUGUACAUACGGUGUGUCUACACGCGAGACUAUCUAAUCCCACCCAAUUAAUGGUUGUUUUAAUCAUGCUGCUGGUUUUAAUCAUGGAUAUGGGAGAAUGCAUGAUGGACAUGCUGGUUGGUUAAUACUCCUCUCCGUGAUAGUGCAUUAGGAACUCUGCAUGCUGCUGUCCUUUGUCUCAUCAUCUUAACUACUACAGUAGUAGGAGUAUUUUAUAUGUUGUUCAUUUCUUGGCCACCUAGCAUGUUUGCUAAUCAUCCAUCUGCCUCAUGUUAUAUGAUCCCUGCCUAGUAACUUCAUUAUAUGCAGACUUGUGGUAUUGGUUCAGUUUAGGCAGAUUAAUAUAUAUACUGCUAUGCUACUACUACUACUUGUGACAAGGAAUAGAAGAUCAGUUAAGUAUGGAGUUAGGAUUAUCUAAUAAAAUUUCUGCUAUAUAUAUAUAGGCAUGAAACUGAGAUUGCUAGCAUCAUUUACAGAAGAUACACCCUUUCAAUUGAACUGAUUGGUUCAGUUUCGUGCAUUAUUAACCCCAUCCUUCUAUCAUGCUUGUAACUAGUGCUCUGCUCAUGUUGUAAGACAGGAUUUUCACUUCCUGCCAUCCCAGCCUUCUAUCAUGAUUACAAGAUUUUUCUUUGCACGACAGCAACACUAGUACCUUGCUGCUGUUGGAAACGGAAGGAAGCUGUUCAUGCACCGAAUCCAGGGAGAAAAUCACCUUCGGCAUGAACGACAUCACCUUGGGCAUGCUCGUGGUGCUGCUGCUCGGCCUCAACAUGUCCUGGAGUCCCAUUACCGCCGCCCUCACGCUCAUCUUCCUUGACUUCAAGGAUGCCCACCCUUGCCUCGAGAAGACUAUAGUGUGGUAUAAUUCCUGGAGCAUUGUAAUGCCUUACCAAGUAGCAAUUGCAUGAAGAUAGUCCACAACACAAAAACUAUGUGUAAUGGAUCCAUGACUUACAAUCUGUGAAGGUUUUCAAAUGUUGAAGGAGGAGGACAAUAGGAACUUCUGUGAUGUCUUGUCAUCUAUUUUCUUUUCAUUGUUGUAGAAUAGCUUUGUUUGGCACUUACUGGUUCCUUGGACAUAAAGGUAUGUACUGCUAGAAUGAAUGCAUGUAAAUAUAUUUUCUUUUCUUUGUUGUAGAAUAUUCCAUGUUGCUUUCAAAAUGUAUCGGAACUGGGCUAGGCCCAAGAUAACUUGUAGUGUGAUGUGUUGUAAUGUCAAUGGCAUAAUAAAAGAAGUUGGAUCGGAUCAAUUAUUUCGGCCCAGCC